rnacentral:rRNA from 1 species
CGCAUGAUCAGNCUUUUAAAAGGCGGCGUAAGCUGUCGCUAUGGGAUGGCCCCGCGGUGCAUUAGCUAGUUGGUAAGGUAAAGGCUUACCAAGGCGAUGAUGCAUAGCCGAGUUGAGAGACUGAUCGGCCACAUUGGGACUGAGACACGGCCCAAACUCCUACGGGAGGCAGCAGUAGGGAAUCUUCCACAAUGGACGCAAGUCUGAUGGAGCAACGCCGCGUGAGUGAAGAAGGUUUUCGGAUCGUAAAGCUCUGUUGUUGGUGAAGAAGGAUAGAGGUAGUANCUGGCCUUUAUU